rnacentral:misc_RNA from 1 species
GUGAAUCAUCGAAUUUUUGAACGCAAAUUGCGCUUCCUGGCAUCCCGGGAAGUAUGCCUGUUUGAGGGUCAGUAUUAACAAAAAAUCGGUUUGGUUGCAAAUUGUGACGUUUCCGGAGUUUGGGCUUAUCUUAACUUUUUUGGUUAAGGGGCUUAAAAUUGACCUUUUUUGCGCAUUUUUAGACGUACAUCAAUUUUUUUUUUUUUUUUUGUCUGUUUUAAUGCUCAAACUCCUUUUGACUGC